CUUACAUACCAUCUUAUGUCACAUGUUUAACCAAUCAUUUUUAAAAACUGCAUCUACAUGCUUUCCUCUUACCUGCUUUUACAUGCGCACAUGUAAACGCGUGCUCAUAGGAUGGAUCUUACAGGGAACACUAACAAUGUGGAAAUCGGCAUGAGUUGCAAUUUUGGUAAGAUAAUUAAUCUUGGCCAUGCGUAUUCGUUUUAUCUCGAAAGAAGUAACUUCUUGUAUUAAUGAACUACAAAAUAACUCAGGCCUUAUGAAAAUUUAAAUGUUAUAUAACAAAUAUCACUACAAUAAAUAUGAGUAUUGGUAGUAGUUCACUGUAGCACGAAAUCACGAACUGCUACGAAAACAUGUUAAAUCCGUGGGCAUCUUUUUCGUAGCGUUAUAUCCGCGAUAGGACAAAAAUUCAUUAACUGGGAAAUAAAAAAAGACUAUUAUAGCUGUUAUGUGUUUUGGAGGCAAAACACUUAGCUUUUUUUUCUUCUAUUAUUCCGCCAUUAUCUCUCACUUUCGACCACUCUCGAGCAUGCAAGGGUAGAAACCCAAAAUCCUAGAUCCGCCAUCCUUCGGUGCUGUCGUCGCCGAUCGGUGUCUCGUCAUCGCCGUUCAGAUUCUAGCUUGUACAAUUACAGGAAGAGAAGGAGGAGACGAGUCAGUUUGGCUUUCAAGUUUGGAGCUUUUGAUCGUUUAUUUCUUUGUGGAGUGAAGUGGACUUGAAAUCUGCAGUAUCUUAUUGAGGUAAUUAAUUCGACCCUAAUAUAAGAAGGAUCUUAUCGAGUUUUGUUUGUGUUAUUGAUUGCCUGCCACUUUUGAAUAUCUGAUUGAUUGAAUAUAUUUGACUGUUUAUUGGUGCUUCUGUGAUUGACAAUUUCUUUGUUUUGUGUUUGAGAUAUUCUUAUGUGUUUGCUUUGUUUUUGGUUCUGAGUUAGAAACUUAGUUCAUAAAAAUGAUGGAAAAGUCAUGGGUUCAACUUAGCAGGUAAAGUAAAACAAUAUAUACUUAAGGAUUUAUUAGGGGAUUAAGAGAGUUUACGCUUUGCUAUUGUCUUAUGCUUGCAUAUGUCUUAACGAAAGAGCUGAUCCUGAUUAUGAGAGAGGUGCUUGGAAUUUUGUGAGGUCUGUUGGUGCAGCUUUACAAGACUCUGCGAUGAUCAUUUGCCCCUGCACGGACUGUCGCUGAAGGUCGUUGGUCAUCGAAUAAUCCAGAACAUCUUGUCCACUUUGAACCUUUGGGCCCUGGUGGAUGUCGAGUCUUUGUUGAUGUUGUGAAGGUUAAAGAUGCUGCUGUGUGGAGGACAACAUCUGAGAUCGAGUAUAUGGAAGAUGCACUUGGAAGCUGUCUUGCCUGGCCGGAGGAUAAAGUUGUAAUGGCGUAACCCCCAAGAAGGAAGCAACUGAGUUAUGUGUUCGCAUUUUAUGUUGUCCUUUGUUAUGAUAUGCCUUUGUUUCAAAACAUGACUGUCUUUUUUAUGACUCUGUUUUUAUGUAUGCUUUGGGUAUUCGUAUGCUUCGGAUCUAUGACUUAAUCGAACCAUAUCUUAUGUUAUGCAUA